AUUGAACGCUGGCGGCAUGCCUUACACAUGCAAGUCGAACGGCAGCACGGGAGCAAUCCUGGUGGCGAGUGGCGAACGGGUGAGUAAUGUAUCGGAACGUGCCCAGUCGUGGGGGAUAACGCAGCGAAAGCUGUGCUGAUACCGCAUACGAUCUAUGGAUGAAAGCGGGGGACCGUAAGGCCUCGCGCGAUUGGAGCGGCCGAUAUCAGAUUAGGUAGUUGGUGGGGUAAAGGCCCACCAAGCCGACGAUCUGUAGCUGGUCUGAGAGGACGACCAGACACACUGGAACUGAGACACGGUCCGGACUCCUACGGGAGGCAGCAGUGGGGAAUUUUGGACAAUGGGCGCAAGCCUGAUCCAGCAAUGCCGCGUGCAGGAUGAAGGCCUUCGGGUUGUAAACUGCUUUUGUACGGAACGAAACGCUCCUUUCUAAUACAAGGGGGUAAUGACGGUACCGUAAGAAUAAGCACCGGCUAACUACGUGCCAGCAGCCGCCGUAA
rnacentral:rRNA from 1 species